rnacentral:rRNA from 1 species
GAUAAACGCUGGCGGCGUGCUUCAUGCAUGCAAGUCGCACGGUUUCGGCGCAAGCCGGGACAGUGGCAAACGGGUGAGUAACACGUAAGCAACCUGUCCUUAAGUGGGGGAUAACAUUUCGAAAGAAGUGCUAAUACCGCGUGUGGUCCUUCUUCAUAAGAGGGAGGUCUAAAGCCGCAAGGCGCUUGAGGAGGGGCUUGCGUCUGAUUAGCUAGUUGGUGAGGUAACGGCCCACCAAGGCGAAGAUCAGUAGCUGGUCUGAGAGGACGAACAGCCACACUGGGACUGAGACACGGCCCAGACUCCUACGGGAGGCAGCAGCAAGGAAUAUUGUGCAAUGGGCGAAAGCCUGACACAGCGACGCCGCGUGAGGGAUGAAGGCUUUCGGGUUGUAAACCUCUUUUCCCAGGGGGGAAUAAUGACAGUACCUGGGGAAUAAGUCACGGCUAACUACGUGCCAGCCGCCGCGGUAAUAC